rnacentral:rRNA from 1 species
UACGUAGGUGGCAAGCGUUGUCCGGAUUUACUGGGCGUAAAGAGCGCGCAGGCGGUCGUUCAAGUCGCGUGUGAAAGCCCCCGGCUCAACUGGGGAGGGUCACGCGAUACUGAUCGACUCGAAGGCAGGAGAGGGUAGUGGAAUUCCCGGUGUAGUGGUGAAAUGCGUAGAUAUCGGGAGGAACACCAGUGGCGAAGGCGACUACCUGGCCUGUUCUUGACGCCUGAGGCGCGAAAGCUAGGGGAGCAAACGGGG